CUCGUUGGUGCAUUGGUAAGGUCAUUUUUUUGAUUUUCCAAGGGGUUUCCGAAAUAAUUGGGGAAAAUCCGAUAGAAAAUUAUAGGUAAACGGCAAAUAUGUUUACGGCGCUCCGCGGUGGUACUCAAUAUAAUAUUAUAUUCCACCUUUCCGAUUUCCCGUCUAUAUAAAACGGCGAAAUACCAGUAGUUAACAGUUUAUUUCUUAAUAGCGUUGGUAUCGUACAGUUUGUUGACCCAAUAUUUCGUUUUAUUAGUUUUAUUUUCCGAAGUAGGUACGUACUGUGUAAAGUUUUUGUAUAAGUAACAAUUAUAAUAUAGGUAGCGUAAUAUACAUAG